rnacentral:lncRNA from 1 species
AGCAACCCGUUUCUCCAGCACCCCUCUCUGCAGCAGAGAAAGAUUUUCUCUUUCUUUUUCUUUUCUAUUUAUUUAUUUAUUUAUUUUUUUUAGACAUUCUUGCUCUUGUCACCCAGGCUGGGUUUCAGUGGCAAGAUCUUGGCUCACCGCAACCUCCACCUCCCAGGUUCAAGCAAUUCUCCUGCCUCAGCCUCCCGAGUAGCUGAGUUUACAGGUGCGUGCCACCACACCCUGCUGAUUUUUGUAUUGGCCAGGCUGGUCUCAAACUCCUGAUCUCAAGUGAUCCCCCUGCCUCAGUCUCCCAAAGUGCUGGGAUUACAGGCAUGUCAUGCCCGGCAUGAGAUUUUCUCUUUCUUUUGCCCUUUAAACUUCCUCUCUGAACCUCACUCUUUGUGUUCUUCUCCUAGUUUUACGUGGCUGUGAGACAAGAAAUUUCAUGUAUUUAUCCCAGACAGUGAUGCCACUUCACUUUGACUACUUUAGUUAUAAAUUUUAGAUUCAGCUUUUGUACUUCUAUAACAAGAGCUUGUUGGAAUUUUGAUAGGUAUUUUAUUGAGCCUAUAAAUCAAUUUGGGAAGAAUUGACAUCUUAAUAAUAUUGAGUCUUUAAGAACAUUGAGUCUGUGUUCAUUCAUUAAGAUCUUCUUAAAAUCUUUCAGCAAUAUUUUAUAAAUAUUAGUGAAAGGUUGUGAAUAUUUUAAAUGUACUACUUUGUAUAGAAUAUUUUUGAUGUCUUUUAAAUGGUGUUUUAAAAAAUAUGUUUACUAUUACCUGUUUUAGCAUCAGAAUUUUUACAUAUUUUUGAAAAAUUUUAUACAAGGUCAAUUGGCUGGCCCAUUCUUUGUGUUUGUUUAUAGUUUUCUUUCUCUCUGUCUUAUUCUUUCUUUCAGUAUUUCUUAUGUAGCUUUUUUUUUUUUUUUGGCAACUUAUCACCCAGGGUCCCCAAUGUACAACCCCAUUUUGUAAUGUUGCUUUGGGUUCUUGUCUUCUUUUGAUAUUACAGAUAUAGUUAACUACUGAAUGGGGAGAUGAGUUCAUACUCUCGAGGCAAGCCUGCUUCUUUCCAUGUCUUAUUGCCUCCUGAUACAUAGAACUUUCUGUAAAUGAUAACCAAGCCUAUGAUUGGACUGGGAAUUUUAUUUAUUCUCCAUUGUAGAGCAUGGGCCAGCUCCACCCUAAACUCAGAUUUCAAGCUUUGAACUUUACUCUUGCACCUCCUAUGGAGCAUCUUUAGUUUCUGUUGCCUCUAGAAUGUCAAUAUCCCAGCCACUAUUGCCUCUCCUUCACAAGGAGCCCAGCGUAUCUAUAAGUAGCAAAAUUCAAUUCGUUCUUUGUUUGUUUAGUUGUUGGUCCUCUUUUUCUCUUCUUUGCUCAAUUAGGUCUUUUUUGCUUUAGCCAUAUUUAAAAUUACCUGUCAUUGGUAUGUAUUUCUAGCCGAACACUUGUAUCAAAGCAUGAACUUCUGGCAUUGUGCUAUCUGUAAGUUCUACUAUAUAAAAUUUCAAAGUUUCUAUAUCAGAUAAUUAUAGACUAUCAUUUCUUGAGUUUUAGUAAAGAAUUUCUGGUUCAAGUAAAGACAUCCAAAAUCAAAUUAGCCUUGCUUCUGACAUCUAAUGUUACUUUGAAUCCCAGACUCUAAGAAAUUAUACUCUUAUUAUUCUGUCUUUUCAGUUGCAACUGUUGAGGCUUAGAUAGGCAAGUGAUAUUCUUUUAAAUAUCACACAGCUCUUGCUUUAUAGAGGAAAGACUAAAUGGAAUCUUGAGGUUUCCUAGGUGGGUCUGCAUGCUAUCCAAUCAACCCAUAUCCAGUGACAUUCGAGACAGAGCCGUGCCUACUGCAGGACAAAAGAAUAUAACAUCUGGCAAUUAAUGUCCCCAUAAUUCUUGAGUAUAAGGCAAGAAGAUCCAUAUUUUCCUGUGGAAAUCUCGAUUAUGAGAGACAAAUAAAUAUAAAAUAUUGAAUAUUAAAAACAAUUUGAAUCCCAUAAUUUUUAUGGCCAGAUACAAAAAAAGAAUAUGUAUUUUCUAGUUGUAUGCAGAAUUUGAAAUGUGAAAAAAAUUCAAACAAAAAGUUAUUUGUUUUAUAAAACAUCUCUAGAGCAAUUGGAAUGAAUGCUUAUCCUUGCAUUGAUUAAGCUCACUUUUUUGGGGUCUUUGUAAAGUCGUAGUUGAAGUUUUAAAUUCAUCUGAGUUUUCUUUCUUGUUCCAUUACUAAAGAUGAGCCUUCUUAGUAUGCUGCCUUAAAUUAUCUCUUAAAUUGUAAUACUUCUUUGGAAAUUCUACAAUUCUGCAUAUACAGAGAGAAAUGUAUUCUGAGAAUAUAAAAUUUCAGAAAUAUGCUUAAAAAGUAAACAUAAUUUUGAAAGCUCAAAUGUAUUAAAUAAAAGUAAUUGUCUUUAAAAUUGACUCCAGUAUAUUCUAUAGAGCACUUUAGUAUUAUUUGGGUUUUCUCUAUUCCAUGAAAAUGAAGGCUCAUGUGUUGCAAAUAAAACAAAUGACUUACCCAAAAUAACUUAGUUGCCAUGUCUACACAGUGCAUAGAGACUGGCAAUUUUUGGUGGAAUGUAGGUGGUAUGCACAGGCAAUCCAGAAUAUGCUAGCCAACAUUUUUUUUUAAUAUUGUCUCUUUUAUUUGGGUAAAAAUGGAAACAGAAGGGCAAAACGCUAUAGUGGUAAUGAUUAGAACUUAUUAAGUAUUUAGUAAUUAUACAUACCUUUAUAGUAUGACUUAGAAUCUUUUUAAAAAAUUGAAAGCACAUUACUAUCUGUUCUUCUUGAGUUUACUAUUGAUAUUCAUUGUCACCCUAAGAAAAUUUCAGUAGGAAAAUUUAAAAAAAAACAUUAUUUUUGUGUUGAUUUAGGGAACACUAAUACUUUGACAAUGCUUUAUGUAACUUUUCCAUUAUCCAAGCAGCAGAGUAAGCCUGAGUGGGUGCUUAAUAGACAUGAUUAAUUGGAUGUGUAAGUAUCUGUAUUGUCAUUUAUGUUGCUCCCUCUGAUUAAAAUUCCUUUCUCAUUCUAGCCAGCUUAGAAAAUGUCUAAUUAACUUUUGACACUCAGAUACUAUUAUUAAUCUCUCCCUCAUACAAAUCUGACCACACCUUCCUUUUUGUGCCCAGUUAAUCAUAAGUGUCUACUGGUGAAAACAUUAUUUGAAGACAAAAAACAUUUCCUUCACUACUAUAUCCAUUGCAUGGUUAUUGGUACUGUAGAUAUUAAUAGUAGGGAGAUACGUCAUAAAAAAUAUCCUUUCUCCUUUACUGUAAUUUUAUGAUCAAUAGACACAGACAUCUUGGUUGUACAUAUUGAGUUGAUUACACAGUAAUUUAAAAAAUGGUGUGCUGUUGGUUGAAGUCAAAACAUAUAUUGAUUUUGAAUGGUUUCAUAUGUAAAAUAUAUCAACAUAAUCAUAAAUUAGAUAAUCGUGAAUGAAAUACAAUAUUCAUCAAAAUCUCAUAUAGAAAAAAGUUUUAACAAUAAUGGGAUAAACUAUAUUCCCACAGGAUGUGCAAGAUAAGUAUACACUUAAAUAUCUAUGAAAUAAAUUUUAUGCAAAUGUGACCAUGGGACUUCAAAAAAUAUGCAAUUCUUAAUUACUUAUUAUUACUUUAUAAAUAUGCUAUAUCUAUAAAAAAUUGGUAAAAGAAAACAUUCUAAAUAGGUUAUCAUGUAAGUGCAAAUAUUUCUUUUUUUCUAAAUGUUUGAAGGACCAUAGCUUAAGAAAUUAUGUUAGAAGCCUCAGUAGAAUCUUAACUAUUUAGUAAUUAUACAUUGUUGUAGAAGUCACAGAACCCUCUGAGUUUCUCUUCCUCAUUCUAUAAAUUUCCAGGGCACUUUUAAGAUUAAAUGUAUGUAGGCACUAUUUGUAAAAUGUUAUAUUAUUAUUAUUUUUAAAUUCAUAUCAUAGAAAAUCAUAAAUGAAUAAUUAAGAUAAAUUUAGUUUAAGCAUAUUUUAUUGUAUUUUAUGAGGAUGACAGAUGUUUUAUAAAUGCCAAUAAAAUUACAUGUUUUAGCCAAGUAUGUUUCUAAUAAUGAUAGUAAUUUUUCAGUUAUGUUUUGCAAUUUUUCUUUAGAAUGAAAAUACUGCUCAUUACCUAUAUUCAUCUCAGAAAUACAAUUUCUAAAGCAAUUUUUUGCCAUUUUCUUUAUUUUUCAGAUUGCACCUUACAAAUUAUAUUUUCAUGCUCUCUACUAGAUAACGAUAUAACCAUAAAAAUUUGCAAGGGGAAAUUAAUAAGUGAAUUUAUAUUCUGUAUUAAUUCAAGAUAAACUUGAAGUCAGUUUUUUUGUGUGCUUUUUGGAGGGGUUUGCCUUAUUUUUAAAUGUUGAAAUCAGUUUGAAAAUAAUUAUGUUCAUAUACAUAUUUAUAGUUUUGUUACCAUAUUUAUUAAAGGUGAAAAGGGGGCUUUUAACACAUCAUUUAAAAUAUAGGAUUAGAAUUUACAUAUGUAGUUUUGAAGUGACAAUGACUUACUGUAUUUUAUAUCAUCCCUUUAUAAUAUCUGACUACAUUAUUUUUCAGCUAAGAUAAAACCAUUUGAGAUGGACUUUCUAUUACAAUCAUUGAUGGUUUAUCCAUAUGUCAUCAUACUUUUAGGCCAUUUCAAACUUGUUAGGCCAGUGUUAUUUUAAAAUUACAGUGGUAGGCUAUAUUAUUCAGGCAUUUUAUUCACUACAUUUUUAUAGGAUUGCAUUGAUUACUUAGACUGCUUUUGUCAAUAGUUACAGAAAACUUAAAAUGACUUAAAAAUAAGAAACUUGAUUAGCUCAUACAAUUGGAAUUCAGAUGUAUAAGAGGCUUUAUUUGGAUUUAAUUCAGCCAGUGUGGUCUCAUUUCUCUAAUUGUUUGGGUAUCUCCCUCCUCUGGGGUAUCUCUGUUUUUUUGUUUUGUUUUGUGGUUUUGUGUUUGUGUGUGUGUUUUAGAUGAAGUCUCACUCUUUUGCCCAGGCUGGAGUGUAGUGGCAUGGUUUUGGCUCAUUGCAACCUCCGCCUCCUGAGUUCGAGUGAUUCUCGUGCCUCAGCAUCUAGAGUAGCUGGGACUAUAGGCACAUGCCACCAGCCUGGGUAAUUUUUGUAUUGCCAGUAGAGUAGGGGUUUCAUCAUGUUGGCCAGGCUGGUGUCAAACUCCUGACCUCAUGUGGUCUGCCUGCCUCAGCCUCCCAAAGUGCUGGGAUUACAGGCAUGGGUCACUACUCUGGGCCCUCUGGGGUACCUCUUAAUCAUUCAUGUUCGUAGAAAAAUGGCUCUAGCUUUCCUAAGCCUUUCAUUUGCAUAUCUAGCAAAUUAAGACCAAUUUAUUCUUCCUAACUUUCUUUUAACAGUAAGGACUUUCAUCCAUAAUCUCCAGUAUGCUUCCCCUUGGCUGUCCAUGACCCCAGCUGGGUCAUAUGCCCAUUCAUGAACUAACCUUUAGACUUCAGUCUGGGUAUCUGACAGAUCAUCAACAAAGGAGAUGACUGAUCAUAAUUAUGUGAGUUUUAAUCAUGACCUACUGUGUGAGAUUGGAACAAAAUAUAAGCUGUCUUCAAAAUAUAAAACAGCUGAACAAAAAAGAGAGGCCUACAAUGUUAUUGGAAAAUAACAAUACUCUCUACAAGUAUUAACUGUUUACAAAAUACUUUUACAUCCAUUAUCUCACACUAAAUUUAAAUGACAGUUCUAAAUGCUGCUCCUUUCGCAGUUGCCCUGAGAAUACAUAUGUUAACCCUUCCAACUCUAUAAUCCUUAUCAGCAUUAUAUCCCGUGUAACAGUCUCCUAAAUAUCUUUGGAGUCCCAGAAAAUAGUCAUGUGUUUCAUCAAAUGCCAGGCAUCAAUAUACAACUUGUUUCUGUAUUUACUGAAAAAUAGUUAAAGAAUAAAAGUUAAUCUUUCUUUAAAAAUUAUUUUCAUUAUUGAAAAAAACAGUAAUUCAUAUAAUAUUAUCCAUUAAAAAAAUACACUGUUUCAGUAUCCUAAGGCUAGGACUUUGCAUACCAAACAACCAGACUGAAGCAGAGCUUAUUUAAUGAUUAGAGUCAUGUGAAAAUCUGGACAGAUUUCUACAGCAUUCUUUUGGUUGCUAGAUAUAUUUAAAUUGGCACAAUAGUGGCAAGAUCACCUGUGUAGUUUUCUUGAUUUAUGGAUGUACGUAGAUUAAUAUUUUUCCAUGGAAUCUCACUUUGCUAUUUAGUCAUUAGAAUACAUGCCUCUUAUUUUAUUUUUAUACUCCAAACAAAUACUCUGAAUCACCACCAGAAACAAAUGUCUUCUUUAUAUUAUAGGUUUUGCUUUAUUUAUUUUCUCAAAAUAGUAGAUUUAGUAAAAGAUGCAAACUCAGCUCUUACAAUGUGGCACAAAAAUAAUCCAACUUUGGCCUUAGGGAGACCAUAUAUGCACUAAUGUCUGAUGAUUAAAAACAGCAACAAAAUCAACAAACAAUUUAGCAAUUUUAAGCCUCUUACAUUUGUUCAAAAUGAUUUAACUAUCUUAUUGAAACAAAAUCACUCCAAUAUUUAAGCCAAAAAUUCAUAUUAUUUCUGUAUAGAAGAGAAGAACCCAGGGAUUGGAGAAACGUUAAAUUAAUAAUAACUCAGUAAAGAAUUCUUUUUAAAGAAUGAGUAUAAUAGCCUUCUUCUGUCGCUUACCUAACGAACAACACACAACUGCCCAAUCAAAGUCUUGCAUAUUGAAGAUUAAAAAAGAGAAACAAAAUUUUCAAACUUGGUAAGGCACGAGUAUUUUCUUAAUAAUAGUUUUCACAUAAGAAGGUUAUGGUGUAUUAGCAAACAUCUAACAGUAUUUAUACUGCUGCUUAUUUGAAAAGCAGUGCUACUUUUAAGGAAUCAGGUUAACUCUGCUUUUGACUCCUCGUGGUAUUGAACUGUCUGUUGGAGAUGAAAAUUAGUAGUACGUAUGCCAAACCAUAUCUUUCUGUUCCCUGUUAUUGGAGGGAAGGACAAGAGCUUCAGAGUGGACUAAUUCCUUCUGUUUAUCUCAGACUAUACUAGGAUAUGGUUGUAAUUUUGACUAAUUUGGAGAGGUGGCUGCAUCUCCAACUGUUCAUUCUGGCAUUUAUUAAACAUUUUACAGUAGUGGCUGCUUCUGUUAGCUGCCUGCCUUGUAGUCUCAUCUGUCAGCUCCCAUGAAAAAUGAAUGGCUUGAUUUCACACAAUGUGUGACUGUCAUCACCCUGCCCAAACGUUUUUGUUGUAAUCUAUGUGAUUUCAUAGCUGAAUUGUUUUUGUUCUUUAAGUGAUGUGGGUGUCUGCAUGCCAGUGAUUUCUAGUUUCAAUAUUUAUUUCAUUGGAAGUGGUCACCUAUGGUGUUUUCAAACACUUUGACUAGAGAUGGGUCAAAUACAAUUGCAAUAAUUUAAACCUACAUGCAGACAAUUAUAUAGUUUCCAAUACAAAUGAAAGCAUAACUAUUUUAUUGACAUAGUUAAUGAAUAUCCACACUGUAACUUAAUUAUGGGAAAAUCUACAUAUCCAUAUGCAAAUUUAUAAUAUGUUUUUGAGCAAUAUAAAGACACAUUUGGCCCUCUUUCCCUAGUUGGUGGGUACAUAAGAAGAGAGAUGUACUGUCCUUAAUAUAAAUGCCUUUAAGGUUUUCCUAUAUAUAAGAGGAUUUAUUUUUUAUAUUAUAUACAUAUAUAUUUAAUUUUGAUGUUUAUUGUUUUGCCAAACAACUUUUAUUCCACUUCUUUAUAUUAGUCAUCUCCUAGUUUUUUAUUACCGGUGUGUUUAGGAUUCAGUAAUAUGCAUCUUUGCUUAUUAUCUUUGUGUUUAUUGGUAAAACAAUGAGUCGACUUUGUUUUCGAAUUUUGUUUUCUAUUUUUAUUCAUCCAUUAUAGUUUUUUUCUUUUCUUUUUUUUUUUUUUUUUUUUUUGAGACAGAGUCUCAUUCUGUCGCCCAGGCUGGAGUGCAGUGGCACAAUCUCAGCUCACUGCAAGUUCCGCCUCCCGGGGUCCCGCCGUUCUCCUGCCUCAGCCUCCCGAGUAGCUGGGACUACAGGCGCCCGUCACCACUCCUGGCUAAUUUUUGUAUUUUCAGUAGAGACAGGGUUUCACCGUGUCAGCCAGGAUGGUCUCGGUCUCCUGACCUCGUGAUCCACCUGCCUCGGCCUCCCAAAGUGCUGGCAUUACAGGCGUGAGCCAACGCGCCCAGCCAAGUUUUUUUCUUUAGUUUCAUUAAAUAUCCAAGUUUUAAAAAAGUUAAAUAGUGUUGUAAAUCCCUGAACUUAUGCAUUUUGAGUGUGAAGCCUCUGUGUUCCUGACCUACUUUGCCACGCAGAGACCUGUAGCCAACAGGUGCUAGGCAUCUGUGCCUCAACUAUUCACAGGCGCUGCUAAAUAUGUUUUUGACUUUCAAUAUGUGAAACACUGUUAAAUUAUGGAAAGACAUGGUGAUGACGGAAUUUUCAUUCCCAUCGAAUUUUCCAUUCAAAUUUCCCAUCAAUAUUUCAAACAGUAUUUUUACUUCUUUUGUAGUUUCACCAGACAGAGCAAGAAUCCUGAUAAAUAGCAUCUCCCACUAAUGUAGAUUGGCUACUGAGUAUAUCACGUCUUGAAGAAGGUAUAAACACAACUCUUGAGGGAGGGAGAACAACUUCCAGUCUAGUUAAGCUAAUGUCCAUUACAGACAUAUGAUAUUUCACAAUAAGAGACAGUCUUUAUGAUGAUUGUCCUAAUGUCUCCUUUAGGAAAAAAGUGAGACCCAUCAAACAAGAAAUUGAAUGGAUAAGAUUAUGAGAUUUUGAAUCAAUAAAUAGACUGCAUGUUUAAAAGAAAAAAAAGUCUUUUAGACUCAUUAUCUAAUUAUUAUCUAAUAUGUUUUGUAACACAAAAUUUAUUGCUAUAACCAAUUACAUUGAUAUACCCAGGCAGGUAAAAUGAACUGAAACCACAAGGAAAGGGGAUACUUACAUCCACAUUAUGUUGUAUGUUUAAUGUAAGUGUAGAUCCUGGAUAGUAGACAGAAAUGCCUUUAAGUAAGUCGCUAAUAUCCUACCUCCCAAAAGCUCAUGUUAUUUUUUAUAGUAUCUUCAGAUUAUGAAAUAAUUCUGAGAAGGUUGAUUUUGUUUGACCUCCCAGCAUCUGAUGAGUUUUGCAACUGCUGUUUUAAAUUAGAAUUAAAUACAUAAACAUGGUAAGACAUGAUGGCAGCCUCUGCAUAUUCUGCAGAGAAUGGUUUAAUAUGAAGCAAAAAAGAAAACAUCAAUUUGAUUAUGAAAUAAUCAUCAUUAUCACAUUUUCUUUACAGGUUACAAAAAAAAGACAAACAUAAAAUUACAUACAAUGAUUACACUGUCACCACCCUAACCCCCCAACCCUCUCAUACAAAGAUAAAAAAUAAAUAAAUUUCUUUAGUUGUUUCAAUUGCUGUGGAAUCAUGAAAUUUUGUCAAAGCCCAAAUGAUUUGCCCAAACCCUACAUAUUGUUUCAAGACCUUGUUUAUAUUGUACUGGGUUUUGUUGUUGUUGUUGUUGUUGUUUAGGGUCGACAACAUGCUAUUGGGGACACAUAAUAGUUGUACAUAUUUAUCAGGUACAUAUGACAUUUUGAUAUGUAUAUAGUGUGUAAUGAUCAAGUCAAGGUGAUUGGGAAACCACCCAAUUUAUCAUUCCUUUGUGUUAUGAGCAUUCCAUUUCCAAUUUUCUAGUUAUGUUGAAAUAUACAGUAAAGUAUUGUUAACUUUAGUCACCCUGUUAUGCUACUGAACACUAGAUCUUAUUCUAUGUAACUGUAUUUUGUACCCAUUAACCACCUCUUCUUUAUUCUCUUCCCAGCUUCUGAUAUCCAUCAUUCUAGUUUCUAUCUCUACGAGUUCAAUAUUUUUUUGCUCCCACAUAUGAGUAAGAACAUGUAAUAUUUGUCUUUCUGUGCUUGACUUAUUUCACUUAACCUAACUGUCCUCCAGGUCCAUCCACAUUGUUUCAGAAGACAGAAUUUCAUUCUUUAUUACGGAUGAAUAAUAUUCCAUUGUGUAUUUGUACCACAUUUUCUUUAUCUAUUUAAACAUUGAUGGACACUGCUUAGGUUAAUUUCAUAUCUUGGCUAUUGUGAAUGGUGCCACAGUAAACAAGGGAGUGUGGAUAUAUCUUCGAUAUACUGAUUUCUUUUUUGAGGGGUAUAUACCCCACAGUGAGAUUGCUAGAUCAUGUGGUAGUUCUAUUUUUAGUUUUUUUUAGGGACGUCUACAGUAUUCUUUAUAGUGGUUGUACUAAUUUACAUUGUCAUGAACAGUCUGCAAGAGUUCACAUUCUUGCCAGCAUCUGUUACUGCCUGUCUUUUUGAUAAAAGCCAUUUUAACUGGGGUGAGAUGAUAUCUCAUUGUAGUUUUGCAUUCUCAUGAGAGAAAUGCAAAUGCAAAUGAGUGAUGUUGAGCAUUUUUCCAUGUUGGCCAUUUUUACGUCUUCCUUCGAAAAAUGUCUCUUCAGGUAUUUUGCCCAUUUUUAAACUAGAUUAUUAUUAUGUUUUCAUAUUGAGCAGUUUGAGCUCCUUAUACAUUCUGAUUAUUAAUCCUAUUAGAUGGGUAAUUUGCAAAUAUUAUCUCUCACUCUGUGGGCUGUCUCUUCACUUUACUGAUUGUUUUCUUUGCUUGAUGUGAUCCUUUUUGUCCAUUUUUUUUUUCAUUGCUUGUGCUUUUGAGGUCUUACUCAAGAAACUUUUACCCAGACCAAUGUCCUUGAGUGUCACACCAAUGCUUUCUUCUAGUAGUUUCAUGUCCUAGGUUUAGGUCAUUAAUUCAUUUUAACUUGACUUUUGUAUAUAGCAAGGUCUAGUUUCAUUCUUCUGCAUAUGGACAUCCACAUUUUCCUGCACCAUUCACUAAAGAAACUGUUCUUUCACCAAUGUAUGUUCCUAGAAGCUUUGUCAAAAAUGAGUUGACCAUAAAUGUAUGGAUUUAUUUCUGGGUUCUCUAUUAUGUUCCAUUGGCAUAUGUGUCUGUUUUCAUGUUGGUAUCAUGCUGUUUGGGUUGAUAUAGCACUGAAGUAUAAUUUUGAGUCAGGUAAUGUGGUGCCCCCAGCUUCGCUCUUUUUGCUCAGAAUGACUUUGGUUAUUCUGGGUCUUUGAUGGUUCCAUAAAAUGAUAUAAUUUUUUUUUCUAUUUCCAUGAAAAUGUCAUUGGUAUUUUGAAAGAUAUUGCAUUGAAUCGGUAGAUUGCUUUACAUACUAGGGAUAUUUUAACAACAUUGAUUCUUUCAAUCCAUAAGCCUGGAAACUUUUUCUAUUUUUUUUUUUUUUUGCCUUCUUCAAAGUUUUUAAUUCAUGUUUUAUAGUUUUUAUUAUUUUUAUCUUCCACAUCUUUGGUCAUGUUUAUUUUUAUGUAUUUUAUUUUAUUUGUAGCUAUUGCAAAUGGGAAUAUUUUCUUGGUUUCUUUUUCAGAUUGCUCACCAUUGUCAUGUAGAAAUACUACUGAAUUUUCUAUGUUGAUACUAUGUCCUACAACUUUAUUGAAUUUAUCAGUCCUAAUGUUUUUGGUGAAGUCUUUAGGUUUUUCUAAAUAUAAGAUUAUAUCAUUUGCAGACAAGAAUAAUCUGACUUGUUUCUUUCCAAUUUGGAUGCCUUUAUUUCUUUCUCAUGUCUAAUUGCUCUGGCUAGGACUACCAGUACCUGUUGGAUAACAGUGGUGAAAAUGGCCAUCCUUGUCUUGUUCCAGAUCUUAGAAGAAAGUCUUCUAGUCUUUUCCUAUUCAGUGUGAUGCUAGCUGUGUGUUUCUCAUAUAUGGCUUUUAUCAUGUUGAGGUAUGUUCCUUCUAUACCCUGUUUGUUGAGAGUUUUUAUCAUGAAGGAAGGUUGAAUUUUAUUGACUAUUGUUCGGCGUCUAUUGAAAUGUUCAUAUAGUGUGUCCUUCAUUCUGUUGAUGCCAGUAUCACAUUUAUUGAUUUGGAUAUGUUGAACUAUCCUUCCAUCUCAGGGAUGAAUCUCUUCUGGUCCAUGGUGGGUCUAGAAACAUCGGCCAGGGGCUAAGGCCUGGAAUUAGGGGCUUUAGGAAUCUACUUGGUGCUUUAUUUUACUGCAGCUGAGCUGGUACCAAGUUGCAAGACAAAGUCCUCUGUAUUCUUCCCUAUCCUUUCCCCAAGUGAAAGGAGUCUCUCAUAGAGUGGCCCUGCUAGAGUUGGGGGAGGGGUUAUGCAGGCACUCAAUAUCCCCUAUAGCUGGUGUUGAACUGGACUGCACUCAAGUCCCAUUGCCUCCAAGACCAGUGUGGCCCCAGGACUUUCCCAAGGACUGGAGUCCUUGUAGCUUAACUUCCAUUCAAAUGCAUUCAGGGCCCCAGACCACUUUACUUAGCUGGUGGUGAAGUCAUCCAAGGCUUGAGUUCCUCCUGCUUAGGCAGAAGAUUCCCCUCUGGCCCAUGGCUGGUCUAAAUGCUCAUUCUGUGGGCACUGGCAGAAUUCUGUCUUGUGUUGUGUUCUGCUGUGAAAGGGCAGCCCUGAAUUACAAUGCAAAGUUCCACAGUACUUUGCUCUUGAAGCACACAGAUUCUCUCCAUACAGGGCUUCCUGAGACUGGGGGAGGGGUGGUUUAAGCAGUGCCAGGUUAACUUUCCUACUCUCUUCAAUGUGCCUUUCUUUGUUACUAUGUUAAAAGCAGGUACUAUGAUCAUUCACCUAAUUGUUUGGUUCUUAUGAAGCUGCUUUCUUGCGUGAAUCGUUGUUCAGUUUGGUGUUCUUGCAGGGGGAUGAUACCUAGAGAGUUGUAUUUGGCCAUCUUGCUUCCCAUAUUCUACUUUUUGAUGAAUCUCCCUUUACUAGGGCAACUUUUCUAGCUCUCUUGUACCUCUGAUUAUUCUUUCAAUUUCCCUCCUAAUCAUAGGAUAUUGCCUUUACAUAUGUGUAGUCUUAGUAUUUACCAUGUCAUUCCCAAAUAGACACUAACUUUUGUAGGGGAAUGAGCUAUGUCACAUAUGUCUUUUGUCUUUCCACACUGCCUCAUAGAGUGGCAACCACAUAGAAAAUAGAAAGUUAAGAAAAUAUUUGAAUGAUUUGCUGAUUGCUUGAUAAAAAUUUAUGUACACAUAUUUCAUAUGUUAACCAGUUAUGUUAACAGUAUGCUUAUAACUUACAUUUGACCAUGAAGUCUCAAGUAAUAUCACACUCUAUCAUAAAGUGUAAAUGGGAAGAUCCUCUGGCAAAAUUAUAAACAUCUCUAUUGUCAUCACAUAAGAGACCCUAAAAUCCUGUGGCUAACUUCUUAUUAAUAAACUUGAUGACAAUGAGCUUCACUUCUACCUUCAAAUGGAGAAAAUAUAAAGGAAAAAAGGCUUCCUUCUUUUCUCUGGUUUCUAUAUUAACUGUUGUAUAUUUUCCCAGGAAAGUUUUUCAAAGCCUCUAACUUUGUGGAUAGUAUUAGACUAGAAUAUGUGAAUUAUUGAUCCCAUGGAUAACAACCUUAAUGUUCUAAUUAAAAGUUUAUGGCUUGAGAUUAUGUCCUUUGCAGGGACAUGGUUGGAGCUGGAAGUCCUUAUCCUCAGCAAACUAACGCAGGAAGAGAGAACCAAACACCACAUGUUCUCACUCAUAAAUGGGAGCUAAACAAUGAGAACACAUGGACACAGGGAAGAGAACAACACACACUGGGGCCUGUAGGGGUGCAGGGGGAAGGAGAGCAUCAGGAUAAUUAGCUAAUGCACUUGGGGCUUAGUACUUAGGUGAUGGGUUUAUAGGUGCAGCAAACCACUGUGGCACACAUUUACCUAUGUAACAAACCUGUACGUGCUGCACAUGUAUCCUGGAACUUAAAGUAAAAUAAAUAAAUAAAAGUUUAUGACUAAUUCUUGCACACUUAAUACCUUUCUUCAUUUACAUAUAGUUUAUAACUUGUAUCUUAACAUACUGUCUCCCUCAGCGUUGUUAUACCAAUGUGGUAUCAAAAUAAAUAUUUAUUCAGCUAUUCCCUUCCAUAUACCUUUAAAUGCUUACCUCUACUAUUUUCUUUUUCCACCAUUUUUAUCCUUUUUUCUUUACUUUUUGUUUCUCUUUUUUGCUCUUUUACCUUCUUUAUUUUUUUCUUUUACCAUAUGUUAUAAACCUAUUUAGUGCAAAUCCUGUCUGGUCUUCCCAUGAAGUAGCCAUUCUUUUAUUUCUUUACUUUCUUUAAAAACAAAAACAAACAAACAAAAACCAUUUAGUGCAAAUCCUGAUGUUAAAUUUCGAAAUGGUUCAAUGUCAAUUGUGUGGAUUCUGCCCUUGAGGUGCUGUCUGGUAGAACAGAUGGGGCAUACAUAUAAAUUAAAUAAUAAUACAAAUUAUCAGUAAUGAAUGCCAUGAGAAAUUGCUGAUAAAGAAUUUCCCACAUACAAACCACCCUUUUACAAUCUUUCUAAUCAUAACUUCCUGUUUACUAAACUACAUGAUUUAUUUUGCUUUUGCAUAUUUUCACAAAGAUUCCUUUCCUUUAUUGUUAACUGAAAAUUUCUCAACAGUUAGAAUAAGACAUGAGAAUCUGUGAAAUAUUUAAGACUGAGGUCUUGAAAUAUCCACAUUUUAUCUGAGAUGGUAAUGGUAUCUGUGUUUAAAAAGGUUUCAAUCAGAAGGAGGCAUCCCUGUCCAAAGGCUAUUGCAUUGGUGCAGCAGAAGAAAAUAAGCAACUCAGCUAAAGUAUAUAGUAAGGAGAGAAAAUAAUAUAUUAUAAUAUAUUGGGGCUAAUUUGAAUAAUAAAUGUAAAAUAGAGUAAUUUUUCUCCUUUCUUCCUAUAUAGUUUUCUCAUCCAAAGGCAAAACUCCUUAGAAGGAAGGAGUGGAUGUGACAUAUCUGAAAAGAAAGCCAAGACUUAAAUAUGUUCAAGACUAACGGACUAGUGCUGAUGAGCAGAAUGGUGGAAACAUAAAAAAAUGUCUGCUAGCAAUCUUCUGUUCAGUAUAGCUUCUCUCCCACUCGAUCCACGUGAUCAUUGUGGAGCUAUUAUCUCUGAGCAAUGCCGCUCUGCCCAUACAACCACACUCAAUCUGUUCAAAGAUGGGACGCUCAACCAAGUGUGCCGAGGUCCUCCCUGAUGAUUAGCAUAUGGAUAUAGAACCAUUUUCCACCUUUGGGUAUCUAUACUAAAAGAUGAAACCUGUUUUUGCCAAUGGGUUUAUGAGAAUGAAGAAAGUAAGGCACAUAAAAAAAAUAGAACAAUUACUGCUGGUAAUAGGAUCCCAUGCUAUGCCAAAUGGGGUCAUAAAAAAGGGAGGGAGAGGUGGAGGAGGCAAGGGCAGCUUGGAUAUAGGAAUAAAUUAUAUCUCACAGUUUCUUCAAGAUACAUUUAUUUAUUUAUUUAUUUUUGAGACAGAGUCUUGCUCUUGUCACCCAGGCUGGACUGCACUGGCACAAUCUCAGCUCACUGCAACCACCGCCUCCCAGGUUCAAGCGAUUCUCCUGCCUCAGCCUCCUGAGUAGCUGGGAUUACAGGCAUCCACCACCAAGCCUGGCUAAUUUUUGUAUUUUGAGUAGAGACAGAGUUUCACCAUGUUGGCCAGGCUGGUCUCAAACUCCUAACCUUAAGUGAUAUGCCGG